rnacentral:rRNA from 1 species
AGAAUCAACGCUGGCGGCGUGCCUAACACAUGCAAGUCGAACGAGAAAGGGGUAGCAAUACCCUGAGUAAAGUGGCGCACGGGUGAGUAACACGUGACUAACCUACCCUUGAGUGGGGGAUAACUGAGGGAAACCUUAGCUAAUACCGCAUAAUACCCACGGGUCAAAGGAGCAAUUCGCUCGAGGAGGGGGUCGCGGCCGAUUAGUUAGUUGGCGGGGUAAUGGCCCACCAAGACGAUGAUCGGUAUCCGGCCUGAGAGGGCGCACGGACACACUGGAACUGAAACACGGUCCAGACUCCUACGGGAGGCAGCAGUGGGGAAUUUUGCGCAAUGGGGGAAACCCUGACGCAGCAACGCCGCGUGGAGGAUGAAGUCCUUCGGACGUAAACUCCUUUCGAUCGGGACGAUUAUGACGGUACCGGAAGAAGAAGACCCCGGCUAACUACGCGCCACGCAGCCGC